rnacentral:rRNA from 1 species
GUGAGGAAUAUUGGUCAAUGGGCGAGAGCCUGAACCAGCCAAGUCGCGUGAAGGAUGAAGGUUUUAUGAAUUGUAAACUUCUUUUGCAGGGGAAUAAAGUACGGUACGUGUACCGUUUUGUAUGUACUCUGCGAAUAAGGAUCGGCUAACUCCGUGCCAGCAGCCGCGGUAAUACGGAGGAUCCAAGCGUUAUCCGGAUUUAUUGGGUUUAAAGGGUGCGCAGGCGGGUUGAUAAGUCAGCGGUGAAAGUUUGCAGCUUAACUGUAAAAUUGCCGUUGAAACUGUCGAUCUUGAGUGCAAAUGAGGUAAGCGGAAUGUGUUGUGUAGCGGUGAAAUGCGUAGAGAUCGGGAGGAACAUCCGUGGCGAAGGCGGCCAUCUGGACCAGCACUGACACUGAGGCACGAAAGCGUGGGGAGCAAACAGGAUUAGAAACCCCAGUAGUCC